rnacentral:lncRNA from 1 species
AUUAAUUGAGUUGCGAAGCCAAUUGGAUUGGAGUUCAUCCUACUUUCCUGCGGCAUCUGACGUGCAUGCGAAGUAGAAGGUCUGCAUAUCCAGGCCUCUGUGAAGGUUAUAUCAGAUAAUUUGGGAUUUGAUCCCUCAUUCUGCUGUGAUUCAGGUAAGAAUUUGAUCCAUAAACAAGUAGAAUGUUAGAGAAAAUUUUUAGAUGCAACUUGAGCAUUCUGAUACAAAACUGUUCCCUUUCCUUCAUUAUCAUUAAGUGAAAGAAAUAAAAGACCAUUAUCAAUAAAAGUAUUUCCAUAAUACUCGUUAGAAAAGUAAAUAGAACAACUAUUGUUCUUUAUAUUUAUUUUAAAAUCUUGUUCCAAUAACAAUGGUACUGAAAUAAUAUUUCUAACAAUAUUAAAAAUAUAAUAACAGACCUUUAGUUUCAAAACUUUGCCCGAAGGCAACUUCAAAACCCUGGUUCCUGCUUUGACCUGAAUGGACUUUCCACUAGUGCCAACAGCUCGAAGUCACCUUUAUUCAGACUCUUUAUUUCCUGUAGACUUUGCAACGAUUUGCAUAG